GGCCUGCUGGCCCAAUGGCAAGGCGCUUGACUACGACUUUUCAGAAAAAAAUCUGAAGCCAGCAUCAAGAGAUUGCAGGUUCGAUCCCUGCGUAGGUCA
rnacentral:tRNA from 1 species